UAGUCCACGCCGUAAACGAUGGAUACUAGCUGUUGGGAGCUUGCUCUCGGUGGCGCAGCAAACGCAUUAAGUAUCCCGCCUGGGGAGUACGAUCGCAAGGUUGAAACUCAAAGGAAUUGACGGGGGCCCGCACAAGCGGUGGAGCAUGUGGUUUAAUUCGAUGCAACGCGAAGAACCUUACCUGGGCUUGAACUGUUAAUGAUCGUGCCAGAGAUGGCAUUUUCCUUCGGGACAUUAUCAGAGGUGCUGCAUGGCUGUCGUCAGCUCGUGUCGUGAGAUGUUCGGUUAAGUCCGGCAACGAGCGCAACCCUUAUCUUUAGUUGCCAGCACGUGAUGGUGGAACUCGUAAAGAGACUGCCCGGGUUAACCGGAGGAAGGUGGGAUGACGUCAAGUCCUCAUGGCCCUUACGUCCAGGGCUACACGCGUGCUACAAUGGUUGGUACAGCGAGAAGCGAAGUGGUGACAUGGAGCAGAUCUCAAAAAACCAU
rnacentral:rRNA from 1 species